CCGCUAUCCGCAACUCGGUCUAGCCGUAACCCGGAAGGUAUACCUGCAUCUCAAAGGGUGAAACACCCGCAACGGUGAAGCG
rfam:Advenella mimigardefordensis DPN7, complete genome.